UUAGGGGUAGUUUAAUAAAAUAUUAACUUUGGGAGUUAAAGAUCGAAAGUCCUAUUCGUCCCUAAA
rnacentral:tRNA from 1 species